rnacentral:tRNA from 1 species
GCGAGGGUAGCCAAGUCGGCCAAAGGCGCUGGACUUAAGAUCCAGUCCCGCAGGGGUCCGUGGGUUCGAAUCCCACCCCUCGCA